GACGGAGGGUGCUAGCGUUGUUCGGAAUGACUGGGCGUAAAGGGCGCGUAGGCGGCCGCUUGCGUCGGAUGUGAAAGCCCGGGGCUCAACCCCGGAACGGCAUCCGAUACGGGGCGGCUCGAGACCGAGAGAGGUGAGUGGAAUACCCAGUGUAGAGGUGAAAUUCGUAGAUAUUCGCAAGAACACCAGUGGCGAAGGCGGCUCACUGGCCCGGUACUGACGCUGAGGUGCGAAAGCGUGGGGAGCAAACAGG
rnacentral:rRNA from 1 species